rfam:Dipodomys ordii contig_25334, whole genome shotgun sequence.
GGGACAAUGGCUCAGUGGUAGAGUGCUUACCUCCCAUGCAUGAGGCCCUGGGUUCGAUUCCCCAGUACCA